rnacentral:lncRNA from 1 species
CAACUCAUAGAGUCAGCACAGCAUCUGCUCUGUCCUCCUGAGACUCCGUUGACUUACCAGAAGAGACGCGCACGAAGAGCUUCAUUGAAUUACUGAAGAUGAGCUUUUCACCAAAAGGAAUUUGAGGCAGCUUGCAAAAUUGAUUAAUAGGAUUGGAAAACAGACUUCAGAGCCAAACUCGGAUUUUAUCUGGAAGAAAGUUUCACCACAGCUGGCAUUUUGCAUGCAUUGUUUGAAGAAGAAUGUAAUGAUUUAAUCUGUUC